CACGUAGGGGACGAGCGUUGUCCGGAUUCAUUGGGCGUAAAGGGUGCGUAGGCGGCGCGGUAAGUCGGGUGUGAAAUCUUGGAGCUUAACUCCGAAACUGCAUUCGAUACUGCCGUGCUUGAGGACUGGAGAGGAGACUGGAAUUUACGGUGUAGCGGUGAAAUGCGUAGAUAUCGUAAGGAAGACCAGUGGCGAAGGCGGGUCUCUGGACAGUUCCUGACGCUGAGGCACGAAGGCCAGGGGAGCAAACGGG
rnacentral:rRNA from 1 species